ensembl:snRNA U6 U6 spliceosomal RNA
GUGCUCACUUUGGCAGCACUUAUAGUAAAAUUGGAAUGAUACAGAGAAGAUUAGCAUAGGCUCUGCACAAGGAUGACAUAUAAAUCCGUGAAGCAUUCCAUUUAAAA